CUCAUCUGGAUUUCGUCUGCACAGCAUGAAAUUUUCAACGAUAAUGGAACCGCGCGGUACUUCACUUCCGUUAGCAAAAUCAAAGAUACCGAAGGUUAAAUAAAAAGUGAUCACGUCAAUAUGAAGACAGUGUAAUCGUCGGGAUAUGUAAGUGUAGACGUAAGUAGAGGAGACUUCAUAUCAGGGACGCUCUAUUAUAUGCGUGCAAAAACAAAAAUUUAAAUGGAAAAAGAGAAAAGAGAAGAAAUUCGGAGCAAUAUUGAAGUGUCGGCUUGCAAUCGAAAUACAUACGUAUACGUCCAAUUAUAUAAUACUUCUUUUUACAUGCGUACAUCAUGUA